CGCUGGCGGCGUGCUACUAGCAGUGCAUGUCGAACGAUGUUUCGCUUUUAAGUGAAGGGCGGUGCUUGCACCAACCUGAUUUACCAGAAGUAACUCGAUGUGGCGGACGGGUGAGUAAGCACGUGGGUAACCUGCCCUCAAGCGGGGUGAUAAUCACUUGGAAACAGAUGCUAAUACCGCAUAAUAUUAAAAACCACAUGGUUUUUAAUUGAAAGACGGCGUAAGCUGUCACUUUUGGAUGGACCCGCGGCGUAUUAGCUAGUUGGUGAGGUAACGGCUCACCAAGGCGAUGAUACGUAGCCGACCUGAGAGGGUGAUCGGCCACAUUGGGACUGAGACACGGCCCAAACUCCUACGGGAGGCAGCAGUAGGGAAUCUUCCACAAUGGACGAAAGUCUGAUGGAGCAACGCCGCGUGAGUGAAGAAGGUUUUCGGAUCGUAAAACUCUGUUAUUGGAGAAGAACGUAUUUAGGUAGUAACUGGCCAGAUAGUGACGGUAUCCAAUCAGAAAGCCACGGCUAACUACGUGCCAGCAGCCGCGGUAAUACGUAAGGUGGCAAGCGUUGUCCGGGACUUCAUUUGGGCGUAAAAGCGAGGUGCA
rnacentral:rRNA from 1 species